rnacentral:rRNA from 1 species
CCUCAGUAGCGGCGAGUGAAGCGGGAAGAGCCCAUCGCCGAAUCCCCGCGUCCCAGUGGCGUGCGGGAAAUGUGGCGUAAGGAAGCUGUGGCUAACCGGGGACGUGGAGCCGACGUCCUUGUGAAGGAGGCUUUCAUCCCAUAGAGUGUGUUAGGCCCUUCAGGCGCCCGUCGCCGGUGGCCUUAAGCUUCCAAGAGUCGGGUUGUUUUGGAAUGCAGCCCAAAGACGGAUGGUAAACUCCACCCAAGGCUAAAUACUGGCACGAGACCGAUAGAACACAAGUACCAUGAGGGAAAGUUGAAAAGAACUUUGAAGAGAGAGUUCAAUAGGACGUGAAGCUGCCGAGAAGUAAACGGAAAGGCCCCGCACACCGUGGCCGGGUGAUUCAGCGCAGGGUGAGGUUUCGGCGCCCCGUACCGUCUGCGGAUUCCCCUCGGGAACCCUGGCGGGACGGGUCGAAGCAGCCGCCCGUCGCGCGCAUUUCUCCCGUGCCUCUGGGGUUGACGACCGACCGUUGACUGGCCCAUUGAACGCGGCGAAGGCAGGUAGCUCACUUGGCCCUCGGGCCUCGAGAGAACUUACAGUCUCGYCGUUUGCAUGGGUCGCAAGGUCGAGGAAAGUGGACACCGUUUCUGCGCCUGCCCGUCCCUCGGGACUUGUGGCUGGAGCCGCCGGACUCCCGCUCGUACGGCGUACGGGGACUGCUCUCAGUGCCCGCUCGCUCGUGCGGUCGAGAAAGGCCGGAUCGCCUCUCAGGCGCACGGGGUCUGUCAACUUGGCCGGGCGCCUUUUCGACCCGUCUUGAAACACGGACCAAGAAGUCUAACGGACACGCAAGUCGAAGGGCCGCACACGAAGCCCGGAGGCGAAAUGAAAGUAAAGGUCGGCGUAGGUCGGCCAAGGUGGGAUCCCUGCCCUUCUGGGUGGGGCGCACCACCGCCCCGUCUCGUCCGUUUUACUCGGUGAGGCGGAGGAAGAGCGUGCACGCU